UGGGGAAUAUUGCACAAUGGAGGGAACUCUGAUGCAGCGACGCCGCGUGAACGAAGAAGGCUUUCGAGUCGUAAAGUUCUUUUAUAUGGGAAGAUAAUGACGGUACCAUAAGAAAAAGCCCCGGCUAACUACGUGCCAGCAGCCGCGGUAAUACGUAGGGGGCUAGCGUUGUCCGGAAUCACUGGGCGUAAAGGGUUCGCAGGCGGAAAAGCAAGUCAGGUGUAAAAGGCAGUAGCUUAACUACUGUAAGCAUUUGAAACUGCAUAUCUUGAGAAGAGUAGAGGUAAGUGGAAUUUUUAGUGUAGCGGUAAAAUGCGUAGAUAUUAAAAAGAAUACCGGUGGCGAAGGCGACUUACUGGGCUAAUUCUGACGAUGAGGAACAAAAGCGUGGGUAGCAAACAGG
rnacentral:rRNA from 1 species